UCGCCCACAGCUGCCUCCUGCGCAGCCGGCAGAUAUAGGGAACAUGGACCCAACCAUCCUGCUGGCCAGAGGAGUGGCCCCGGGGUUGAGAAGACCAGCACAAAAUGAGAUUAUCCAAAGCCUGGAGCAAACAGAACUCUCAUGGAGCAGUGAGCUCAGGCAAUGCACCAAUGGCGUGAGGAGUGGCCGAGCCCUGAUCCAGUGUGGCCUUCUCUGGGGAUGUCCUGGCAGGACCCUUUCCACUAAUGAACGCUUGGCUUCUCCUCGCCUCUUCCCAAUUGAGCUGAGAUUCCUAGAGCUGCGUUGUGAGGGCAGCAACAUCCCCGGUGUGACCUGGAGGUGGAGAUUUCUGUUCUAAAUUCCUCCAGCUGACAGAGUAGAAUGAGCUGGUGGACUUGUUAGGAAGAGUAGCAAGGAAAGGGAAGGACACUCAGUCCAUCACAUGAAGUGCUAAGGCCUGUGGCAGGGACGGGGCCAGUUAGAACUCCAGGGUUUGCAUCCAUUGUCUGAGUCAAGUGGAGCCGACCGCAUGGGGAAGAGAGGUGCAAGAGAGGUGGGUCAGCUGGCACUUUCCUGCCAUCUCGCAAGUGACAGUGUCCUGGGAAGUCAAGCUGGGGCCACAGACCGGAACGGAAGGAAGUCAAUCAUGUAGUGGAACAUAAGUAAAUCUUCAAAAAGGAGAGAGGAAAACAGAAAAAAUAGGUGGGGAUCAGCACUCCAGCCCCAUGGAAGCUGGGUGGCAAUCACGGUGUGCUUGAAGAGGGUGAUUUCACAGUCUGCCUGGGGAUCAGGGGCAUUUUUACCGAAAAACACAGAAAAGUUCAUUUUUCCAUUGCUCAGUCCAGGCCAGUUUCAUGGUUAAAGCAAGGCUCUGGUCAAAUGUUAACCACUCAGUUAUCCUGGGGGAGGGGGGAAAUAGCCCACCCUCAGCUGUCCCUUCUCCCAGCAUUUGGGGAAAAUGAAAGAUUAGGUAAAAUGUGUUUAUUUCCUUUCAUUCUCUAGUGUGGGCAGGGGUUCACAUAAUAGUUGGAAACCAUUUUUAACAGAAAAUCUGAGUGAAUCCAGAAGGGAUUUAUUCACAGAGCUCCCUUGCUACAAAAUGAGUAUUAUUAACCAAAACUUGACUCUUUCCCUCUUCCUCCGUCUUUUCCCCUUGUUUAGCGGCCCCCAGCUGCCACCCACCACCGUCGUGGAAAAUGAUGGUGGUGAAUAAGGUUUAAAGUCUGAGCCCAGCAGGCUGCCUCCCCAGCCAACAGAAGCCACGGAGAGGAGCUCACGGCGAAGUGCUAUAUCGCCAUCCAAAAAAAGCCAUCCUAAUUUUCUUAGACGGCAGCUUUGAUCCCAUUUACGGAUGAUGGACUGGGAGAUAUGGUCAGAUGAGCUUUGGGGAGGACCCAUUCAUCCAGUGUUAUUCCCAUUUAUAAUGUGGUCUUCUGCUAAGUAUUUGUGUUCUAAAAUCUGCUCCCUCUGGGGAUUCUUUCUCUCAGUCCUCUUAGAAAACUGAUGAAAAUAGAUUUGCCAUCCACUUCCAAAGGGGGGGUCUUUGCUCCUGUCUGUGGGAGGCCUUUUCUGGGUGGUAGGAACGCACACCGGCAGAGGAACCCUUUAUUACCUCUCCUCUCACAGAACACAACCCUUCCCUCCGCGAGUCCUUCUCUCUCCCUGUGGCUGAACUUGACGGACACCCACGAUGCCUCUUUCCUCUGCUCAGGUCACCUGUAUGGAGCUGGCGAGGAUUCCUGAUGGCCGGCAGUGACCGUGGUGGAAGGUGGGGACGAAGCGACAGAUUCUCCUUAGCAGAGCUGUGGAGUGUGACAAUGGUGUUUGUGUCCAAACUAUCAAACGCCAUUAUCACACUAAAUAGCUACUGUUAGGCAAUCCUUCCGCUCCAUAAGUGUCUGGGCAUCUGUUCAGUCUGGGAAAGAAGGUUUGUCGUAUAGCAGGGCUCCCAAUUUCUGAAUAAAGUCUGGUGCUCUUGGGCUCAUGUGUGUGUCUGAACGCUGCCUCUCCCCCGCCCUUGUUAAAUAGAUGGUGAUUCUGAUGAUGGAGGAAGAAAAACCAGCUCAGAUUUGGUUUCUCCUCUGUCUUCUCACAGUACAGAUGGCUUCUGGCACCAGAUGUGUGGGGAUUUCUUCCCACUAGCAAGUAAGCAAUUAAUUCUGCAGGUGACACCAACUGGGUGUCCUCUAAUCCACUGCAGUUCUGACACUGACUACCUGGAGACAGCACCAGAAUCCACAGAGCGGGGGCUCAGUCCCCAAGACAGCCCCUUCCCUCCACUUCAGAUGCCAAUCGCAAGCCCUAGGUCAUUUUCCCUUGUGCUUCUGAGCUACGGGCUUAAAUUAGAGGUCCCAACAACAGUCUCCUUGGGUUCGACUAAUUUGCUUGAGUGGCUCACAGACUCAGGGAAAUGCUUACUUACAUUUGUUAAGUUGUCAUAAAGGGGACUAUAAAGGACAUAGAGGGAAAGAUGCACAACGCAAGGUAUGAAUGAGUGAGCCUCUGUGCCCUCUCCAAAGAGUGUCAUCCUCCAGGAACCUCCUCGUGCUCAGCUACCUGGAAACUCUCCAAACACUAUUUUGUAUUUGUUCAUUUUGGUACUAAGGAUUGAAUCCAGGGGCACUUAAACACCAAGCUUCAUCCCCUGACCCCUUUUGUUUUUUCAGAGACAGGGUCUCAGUAAGUUGCUUAGGGCCUCACUAAGUUGCUGAGGCUGGGUUUGAACUCCCAAUCCUCCUGCCUCAGCUUCUCAAGUUGCUGGGAUUACAGGUGUGCACCACUGGCCUGGCCUUUUGGAGUUUUUAUAGAGACUUUAUUGCAUAGGUAUGAGUGAAGCAUGGGCAAACGUGUCAAAAUGUGACUGGAUAAAAAGGGGAUGCUCUUUUGCCAAGACUGGGUGGGAAACCUAGCAAGGUUGUCUGUUCCAAUUCUUCUUGGCCUCUGUGUGCAGAACUCCUCCUGUGAGCAUGGAGCAGGACGCCCUGGAAUGAAGAGGUUUUAAUGACUUGCCAUGAGACAAGGUAGGUCAAAAUUAUGAGCCAGGAACUGAGGGCAAAACCCCAAAAUAUCAUAAUAUCACCAUAGUGAUGAAUUUUCUUAUUUUCCUGGGUUAAUGAAAAGAUUAGAGUCCCCCAGUGUACCCAGCACCAAGUUAGGUACCUGGUAAUCAUUCAACCCAUGCUUGUUGAGUUGAGUGAAUAGUUUGGGAAGUGUGAGGUGCACAAAACUGAAAUUGUGUUAAAUCUGGUUAUGCAAACCACAGGCACAGGGGUGUUAAAGUAAAUGACUCCUUUUCAUCAUUAAAAAACCCUUAUAAUAAAUUUGUACGUGGCUUAAAUAACCUUUCAGAAAUUCUAGAAUAUAUUUGAUUUCUACUGAUUUUAACCAAUUACCAGGCUGAUUGCAAAUUGUACGCAGGGUCCUUCUUUAAGUUUUGAUGAAUUACCAUCAGAAAAUUACAUAUAAACAGUAAUGUUAGUGGCCACGGAAAACCUGAACAUGUUAAAGCCCUGCAGCUUCUGAAAGAGUUGGCCCAACUGGGUGGUCUGGUUGGGAACACAUUCUCUUUCUGAGAAGCAUCCGGAGUAAGGAGCAGUUUCUCUAUGUGGCUAAGGCCUCCCUCCUGUGACUUGGCUACAUGAACUAGUCUGUUUAAUCAAAUUUUCAGGAUUGGAUCAACCAUCAGAAACAAAUUCAUUCACUCAAUCAACCAUUUAUUUAUCAAAUAAAUAUGUAUAGAGUGACUUCCACAUGCCCAGCACUUUCCUAGACCCGGGAGAAACUUUUGAAUUAAAUAUGCCUGACAUUAUUUCCAGAGAUGAUAGACAUUCACUGGCUCACAUUCUGUUUGGGAUCUUCUAAUGAUUCCAAUUGCAUUUACUAUGAAACCCAAUGAGCAAGUUGAUUCCAAGUUCCCUGCUAGAAAGCACCACAAAAAUGCAGCCCACACUGUCAAAAAGAGACCCAGACCCUCGCCCCCAUGAAAUAAUUAACACACUUUCCUUUGUAUGAGUGUGUUUUCUGGAGAGACUACGAAUUGACUGAGCAUUGUUAGAGGGCUUUACUAUUGCAGGAAAGUUACUCUCAUGCACACUGUUUGAUUUGAUCUAUACAACACUGGGAAAAGAAGGCAAGUUGUGGUUCCCUCCCACAGAGGGCAGAGACUCCGGAUGCUCCGGAACCAUCUGGUCAUGCAACCACAACUCAACAUGAGGCUCUUACGUCUAAAGUUAGGAGCUUUAUGUGUAGCCUUCCUUGACCUGGUUAUUCCACAAAACCUCAAGCUCCAUGGCUGAGUCUGUGUAGAAACCAGGUCAAUCACACCACUGUUGGAUCGAUAUCCUCCACCCCCCACCUGCUUGGUCAACAGACUCUGAGGGAAAACCCUAAAUAAGAGAGGGAUGUGUCAUGUGACAGUCUUUCCUUUCGAGGGUUCCUAAUUCAGGGAAAGCCCAACACUGUCAUGGAAAAACGUGAGGAAAGAGAAGGAACAUAUAUGCGGUGGUUUGAGGUCAGGAAGGAGCAGAGACAUCUCAGUGACUUGGCCAACUGAGACACCCCUGAAGGCUUCUGACUUUUCAGUCUCCAAAUUGUUCCCAGGUUUGAGGACAAUGUGAGCACUUGGCCCUAUUGACUCCUCUUCCCUCCACUCAUCCUGAGACUUUGCUCUGAUGGAUAUGAACUGGGAAGAAGAGAAGGACAAACUUUCUUUUCUACUAGCUUGGCUCCUUUGCUGUCUUAUUACAGUGGCUGCCUGGGUUAGUUCUGCAUUCACCUUUGGAGUCCUGUUCUUUCUGUAGAUCUCUAAGGAACAUACAUAGAAAGCCAAAGUUCCACAUCCACACUUUAAAGACACAUUUUACAAAAAUCCUGCUGCUCCAAAUCUGUGACGAUAGAGCAUCCUGUCCAGACCAGCUUUCAUCUUCUCCCCUGCCCCAGAGAUUUCCAGCCAGUCAUUUCCAAUAAAGUAUUCCUGGGGUCACUUAUUGACUCCAAAUUUGUCAGAUGAAAAAGUCCACGUACUUGGGCACGCCUUACAUUCACACCGGAAAGGGGGCGGCAGAGCAUAGGCAGCCUCAGUGACUUGUUUUCCUCUCCAGGAGACAGACCACUUGAGUCUGCCUUUGCUUUGUGGAUCACGCUGGUAAGGCCCUAAGAGUCCUUUCAUCUUAGCACAAUGUGUUCCUUGAACAUGACAAUUUCCACUUAGGGCCUGCCCUACUUUUCAUCCAGCGCCAGGGGAGGUUCUGCGAAAUUACGUGGCAGUUACCAUAUGUCAGUGGUUCAUCCACACAUACUUCUGAACUCUUUUUUUUUUUAAACCUAUAAAAUUCUCCACUUGCAUAAUUUUUUUUCACAGUAUUAUCUUUAUUUAAGUAUCAGAAAUAUUUUCAGUUUUAAAAAAUGAACCCAGUUUAAAAAAAUGGUUUCAGUAGUUUGCAGUAUUCGUAACUUGAUAGAAUGGAAAAAAAAUGGAGUUUUAUCUUUUUUUAUAUUGUUGUUCUUUUUAGUUAUACAGGACAUGGAGUAGAACGUCCCAUUCUUGUGGUUGUACAUGAUGUGGAGUUAUACUGGUCGUGUAUUCAUAUAUGAACACAGGAAAGUUAUAGUCUUUCCCAUUCCCAACCUCUUGCCUUCCCCCCACCACUCCCUCCUGUCCAAUCUGGUGAACUUCUACUCCCCUCAACCUGCCCAUUGUGAGUCAGCAUCUGCAUACCAGAGAGAACAUUCAGCCUUUGGUUUGGGGGAUUGGCUCAUUUUGCUUAGCAUGAUUCCAAUUCUCAGAGAAGAUAAUAGUAUUCUAGAACUGGAAACCAGUUUACUUUUUGUUCUAAUGAGGAAAUUGAAACUAGGAUAUUCUAGAAUUCACUGACUGGGUCCAUGUUUAUGAUCUCUGUCUCUGGCAUCAUAAUCCAUUCACUAAGUAGACCUGUUGGGUGGCUGCUCUGAGCCUGGUAUUGUGCAGGGCUUCAGGGUGCAAAAAGGAAUGGGACUGGGUCCUUUACCUGAGCUGCUCUCCAUCUGGGAGUUGAAUAAAUGCCUGAACACAUCUGUGCUUCACUGGUCCCAAGGUGCCAGCACAGAGACACAGAAGGCUGAGACACUUGGAUUAGGCCCUUCAUUUCCCUCCGGAUGAGGAAACCCUGAUCCUUGAAUGUCAUGAUCUCUUUUGUUACUAUUGUUUAUUUUGGUGGAUUCAAUGCCACCAGGUCACAGGGAAGGGCAUGCCUUUAUUUGGGGUGGCAAUGCUGUAACGUGGUCUUGCUGCUUUUAUUCUGCCCCUUGACAACCUAAUGAGGAGCCCAGGAUCUGCUGGAGGUUAGAGGGUGGCUCCGGAUGCUUUUCAGUUAUGUGUGUGAAGAACUUUAAUUUCCCACAGGAGCUGGCGAGGAUGUGAGCUGGCUGUUCAUAUUGGGGACGGGGCUGAUAAUGUAGGAACCAGGCCAGGUCCCCGGGCUGUUCCCUCCCAGUGCUGCCUCGUCCAUAGUCACAAAAUGCCUACUCCAAGAUCCCAAUGAACACUGCACUGCCCCUCAGCUGCUUCUCCCUCAGGACAGGCUCAAUGAAGCUGCUGGUCCAGAGCCACAAGAGUGCUCUCAGGGCCUGUGUGGGAGUGGAGGGAUGGGGUAUCCACCGUCCUCUCUUUAAUAUCCAAAUUUCUUUCCAAGCUUUCCAAAGGAAAAGGAAAGGGUCCAUAGUACACACACAAAAAAAAAAAAGCUCACAGAAAUAUAGCUUCCCCUGGAGAUUCUGAAGGACCUGGGCACAUGACAUCUUAAUUUAGAAAACAGUAUCACAUGUGAUCUGAAAAAAGAUUUAUGUGACACAAAUUUAUGCACUUAGAGUAUUUAACCACAGUGCACAGGAGGCAAGGACAAGGACACAAACUCUGGCGCUGACUGACGCACUCAUUCAUUCAACCAAGUUCAACCACAGGUUCCCACAAGGUGCCAGACCUUACAGAGUCACUGGUCACUGAGAAUUCAAAGAUGAGAUGAUCACCCAAUCUAGCAAAGGACUCAGACAGGCCAUGAGUAAUGGCUUCGUGGAGCUGUAGGGGCUCUAAAAUAGGCAGGGGCAUCUCCGGGCUUAAGGAAGGAAACCCUGUAGUAGGUGACCAAGGUGUGAAUGAGCAAAAGAGCCAAGUGCUCCAAUGCUUCUGGUACUUCUGGCAGCCACCGAGUGAAAGUCAACAUUGUGAUCUCGGCAAGCCUGGAAGAGAGGUUUCCACCUUGGCAAGAGGCCGGGUUACCUUCAAGUUCCCAAAGCAUUGCCCGCCAUUUCUCUCCAGAGCACAAUUGAACUGUGAACCUGAAAUUUAUUUGAAGGGGAUUUUCCCCUCUCAAAAUGCAGCCAAGCACCCACAAAAAGAGAUCAGCUUUAAUUAAAAGAAGCACAUUGCUCUACUUAGCAAAUGUGUGUGUGUUAUUGCACGUGGAGAAUUUCAAUUUCUAAAAAGACCUAGGUAAAAUGCCUUUAAAGUCUUAUUCAACUAGAACUUCUUUUGAACCAGGAAAACCAGGGCUAGAGCUCUGACAUGGGCCUAGCCUAGGCCGCACUUUGCUUGGGACACUGCCCCCUAGUGGUAGGCUAUGCCUCUGCCCGUCACAGCAGCCGUGGGUCUAAAGGAUUUCAGGUUUGCUCUUAAGUAUUCCACAGGGAUUGCAUUAGGCCUUCCCCUGACCACGAAAUCCGGCUUUAAUUUUUGUAAAGUACAUUUUCAAAGGCUUGGGGCAGAGAGGGAAGAGAGUGGAAGUGACUGUUCUAUUGAAUAUCUGUUGACCCAUUAAAUACAACAGACAAGAACUAAUUUUGUUCUACCUACAUGACUAGUUUCUUCCUUUUCAUUUUCCUGGCACAUUUAGCCCAGUAAAGAGCUAAUUAAAGUCCUUCCCAUUUCUUAGGGUUGCUUGUCUUCCCUGUAGCACAUCUUGCCCUGCUUCUCUGCUUGGCUUCACAUUGCAGCUGGGUACGAAGACGUCAGAGAUUGUCUCCCACAUACUUGGAGGCGCCAGCUACUGUAUUUCUAGUCUCUCUCACUGACAACUGUGUCUGAGAUUUUUCUUGUCUCUCCCAUGUCUCUGCAGGAGCCAACUAUAUAUCUCAGAGUAGGUCUCUUGCUCAGCAAUUAGAAUGCUGGAUUGGGAGAGACAGAAAAGGACAGCUAUGUGUCCUUUAGGACAUACCACAUCACCACCCCAAAGUGUAAGAUAUUUUAUUUGCAAGAAGCAAUUUUUUUUCCUUUGGUUAUCUCAAGUAACUCAUUCUUAGGGCAGUAUUUUUAAGGAUCUAUUAUGUGCAAGGCACUGUAUUUCUCCAGGUGGAAAGAAAGGCAGGGGAAGAAGUCUCAGGCAAAGGAAAUAGCACAUGGGAGUUUCUGAAUGGGAUGGACUUUGACCAGCCAAGGAACUGGAAGCACAUUGGUGUGGCAGGAACAUGACAGGCGAGGGAAAGAUGGAGAAUGGACAGAGACUGCUGCAAGUUCCUGGCGUCAGGACAGAGAAAGAAUGCACAAGGAGGACAGGCAUGGUGAACAUCAUCUCUAGUGGUCAUGCCUUCUCUGAUGGGAUCACUGAGACUGGGGACUGGGGACUGAGAGCCUGCAGGCCUAAUCUGGCCUGCUAUCUGCUUUUGUAUGAACUAAGCAUUGUCAUUACACUUUUUAAAAGUUGAAAAAUAAUAAAAGAAUACUUCAUGAUA